GCCUGGCCAAGGGAGGGCAAAACGCUGCCCGGCAGCCAGGGCUGAGCCAGGGGAACCGAGCCACAAACAGCCCUGCGAGCCCCGGGGGGACAGCGGGAGCGGGGCCGGGGCCGGCAGAGAGCCGGCAGGGAUGGGCCUGCGGCCAGGGAGAGACCCCGGGCGGGCCGGGCCUUCCCUGCGGCUCCUGGGAAUGUUCCAGGCUGAAGGAGUCAACAGCGUGAGGAGAAGGAAGAAGCCUCAAGCAGGAGCUGUUAAGCCCUGAGCAUACAUAGUCCCCCAUUCUUCAUCCCUCUUGCGUGGCUCAGGAAUGAAGGAGUAAAGAAGGAAGAAGGGAGCAGCAAGGGCGGUGUGUGUGUGGAGAGUGAAGAGAAAUCUUUUCAUAUUAGCUUUUGCCUCUCACCAUGCAACUUUCUCUUAAUUGUCAGUAAAUUAAUUUUCCAGAAGUUGAAUCUGUUUUGCCUGUGAUGAUAACUGGUAAGGCAUCUCCCUGUCUUUAUCUCAACCCACAAGCUUUCUAAGUCCUGUUCUUUCUUGUUUUCCACCCCAUCCCUUGGAGGCUGGAUGUGGGGUGGGUAGCUGAACAGAUGGAUGAAAGUUUGGCUGUUGGCCAAAGCUAAAUCACAAAAGCUCGCUGGUCUAAAGCUACUUCAAAGACUUUUCAGUAAAACAAAGACUUUUACAAAUCUGAACUCCAAGGGUAAUCCCAAAUACCCUAGUACAGAGAGUGCUAAUUAGUUCAAUUCUUUUAUCUAAACUAGAGAACUAUUAUCUAAACUGCUAAAAGGGUUUAUACUAUGGAGAAGCCCUCUCUCCAUUUCUGAAGGCAAGUGUAGUUUAUUUCUUUUAAGGCUUGGCAAUGCACAUUACAGGUUUUGGACCAUUUAUUAAGAUAGCAUAGUGAGAAUAAAAACCUCUUCCCAAAUUUUCUCUUUAGUUCUGUUAUCUUAGAUAAAAUACUAUGGGAAGAAGACUUAAAAACUAUUCAGAAAAAAUCUUGGCACAAAUAAAUUAUUGCUUCAUUAUGUGUUUGUUAUAGGAUGCCACUUCAACAGAGUGAAGUCCAUGGAUUUGAUACAAAUUUUUAAAUUUUUUUUUUCCUCUUUCUCUUCUAAUAGAAGUCAGUCUCAAUGCAUAUGGUCAAUGUAUAUUGUCAGGAGUCAUGAAUAAACUGCUUGGAAGGACGCCAUGCAUAAGUUUGAUUUGAAGGAAAUAUGAUGCUACUAGACAUUAUUGGGUUCCACAAGACUAACUUCUGGUAACUGAACAUUCACAGUUUGGCAGGCACCUUCACAAAUGAAUCCAGAAUGGUUGUUCACGGUAAUUUGCUUCCAGUGCUCUUCUUGGUAAUUUAAUUGUAAAUGAAACAGUUUUACUGUAAACAGAUGCAAGAUUCCCCCGCCUUGCUGCCCUGGGAGACUGUGAAAAGGUACCUGAAAAGAGGUUGUAGCCAGGUGGGAGUCAGUCUCUUCUUCCAGCUAACAGGUAUCAGGAAGGUAUCAGGACAAAAGGAAGUGGCUUCAAGUUGCACCAGGAACAAAAAAAAUACGUACCAUCCAGACUUAUGAAUGAUAAAAAGUAAAUAGUGCGUGAGCAGUGAAUAAUCCAGUUUGGUCAUAAACUCUGAGAGUUAGAGUCACAAAGAGAAAAAGAUAUUAGAUAUUAAAUAAGUCACAAAAACACAACAAAAUUACCUGAUUCUUCACAAUAAAGGUUUUGCCCCAUCUGUUCUCUGUAUGAAUGAACUCGUUUAUUCUUGACUUCACCAUUUGUCAAACCUUUCUUUCUAGAAUCUACCAGAUUUAUCUUCAGUCAGACAUGAGGAAUAUCAGACACAGAUAUUUUCUUAUCACAUGAACAUGGGAAUUUAGUCUACUUGGAGUGCAUUUAUGCAUUUUUAUCAAAUUAAUCUCAGCACGUAGUGUAGUGACUAUAUUGUUUGAUACAGCAGCUAGAUUGCAGUCUGUCAUACUCACUUUCAAUCAUGCAUCUCAUAAUCCAAUGCAGAUGUAUUGAUAUGCAGCUCCUUUAGGCAGCAAGCCAGCACUUCCAAGGUCAGUUAUUACUGAAGUAGGAGACCAUGAUCAGGAUGUCAAACCACUAAUACAUAACUACCACAGAAUGCUACAACAUUUCUCCUGGAUGACAUCUGUAGACUAUGGAAUGAAGUAGAUUGAAUCUUGUUAGCAAGUCUAAGGAAGCUCUUACCUAGAGUGGGCUGGUGAUGUAGAUUCAUGCAAGAUCCCUUCACUAGGAGCAGUAUCAUUAUGGCCUAAGUUCAGAAAGGAAUACAGAGAAGGAACAGCAGGAGGAACUGGUUGCCAACAGUGAUUACCUGAUUAUAGAACACAUGGGAAAAUCAAAGGCAGAAAGGUGAAAAAAAGCCAGCUUUCAUGGAGGUCAAACCCUUGUGUUUGGCUGUGAAGUUCCUGACUACACUAAAUCACUGUGUAAUGAAAGGGGUGACUUUGCACCCUGACCCUUUUGCAUCCCCUUCUCCAUAUAGAUUCAACAUAGAUUCAACAUUAACUCUUAGAUUUUCCUAUAUAUGCUUUAUCUAUGUAGCAAGCUGUAGAGUGAACCUUGCUACAGAACUCUGCUAAAGUCACACUUUCACAAAUUCAUGUUAAAACCUGUUUUUUGCUGACACCUUUGAUGAUGGUUCCUUAAAAUGGCUCAAACCACUCAGUUGAAACAAGGAUAGGGAAUGGGGGUUACAGUCAGUUCAAAAUGCUAUGUUUUUGCUGUUCCUUGCUCCCCACACUCUUCCCCUGCUCCAGCAUGACAUCCCACCCUUGCAAGACAGUUCUCCAUGAAUUCCAUGAACUUCUCCAGUGUGGGUCCUUCCCAAAAUUUUCAGCUUUUCAAGAAGUGCUCCAGUGUAGGUCUUUUUACAGAAUACUGUCCUUUAGGAAUGGGCUGUCCCAGCACGGGUCCUGCCAGAAAACCUACUCCAUUGAGACCUGUCUGUGAGCUAUUGCCUUCUUCAGGGCACAUCCACCCAUUCUGGAAUGGGAUUCUCCACCAAGGCUGCAGGUGGAUCUCUGCACAGUCCUCCAUGGGCUGAAGGGGCACAGCUACCUCACCAUGGUCUUCACCAUGGGUUGCAGGAGAAUCUCAGCUUUGGUGGCUACAGACGCUUCCUUCUCCUGCACUGACCUUGGUGUAUGCAGGGCUCUUUCUGUCACAUAUUUUCACUCUCCUGGCUGCUGUUGAAAACCUUUUUUACCCAUUCUUGAAUAUGGUAUCAGAAAGGUGCUAUCAAUGUCCCCACUUGGCUUGCUUUGGUCGGAGACAAGGCUGUCUUGAAUCCUGCUGGGUAUGGCUAUUUUGCAGAAUCACAGAAUAUUCCAAGUUGGAAGGCAUAAGACAAGAAUCAUCAAGUUCAGUUGUGAAGUGAAUGUCACAUAUGGGUAAUCUGUCCAACACGAGGGCAGCUUCUGGUGUCUUCGCGCAGAAGCCACCCCUGCAUCCCCUUGCCCCCAAAACUUUGCCAGAUUAACCAAAUACAGUAAGGAGCAACAACAAAGAUCUUAAGUGAAAUGUGGACAUAACAAUUUGAAACAUCAUUAUAACUACAGAGACAGGCAAUAGAAAAUCUGGUGGAACAAAUGACAAGUUAAAAUUAUGCUGAACUUUUUUAAAACAAAUUUGAAGUGACAAGUCAAACAUAUGCUAUGUCAUAAAUAUAUAUACUGUUGCUCAAGGGUUUUUUUAUUUUUUUGCCUCCAGUACUAUGCUCCUUCACAGUAAUUUUGUUUCCACAACUGAAUGUGAAUUUCUUUUUAAAAAUAAAAUACAACCACAAAACUACUUUCAAUAAUCUUGUACCUUUUCUCUGUCUUUCUCUCUUAUUCCCCCAUCAUUUACACCUAUUCUGUCAGGGCCUUUUUCUGAUAUAUUGUCAUACUGGAAAUCUUUCUUGGACAUAUUCAUACCACCUAUUCUAACCUUCUGAUUUUUUGGUAGAUUUCAUACCACAUGAUCAAAUAAUUUACGAUUAGUUCUCUCUGUGUCUUACUAAUUCACCACUCUGUCAGCACCUGCACUGAUGGGAUGUUCUGCAAUGUUCCAAUCUGUAGCAAUCUUUGGUACUGUAGUGAUCUUUAGAGACACUGUAGAUUAACUCAAGAAAGUAUUAUGCGUUUUGGAAAUAGUAUUGAAGGUGGAUGUGAAGCUGAAGGUGGAAAUACCUCAUUUACUAGUACUGAAAGCUUAAUUCUGUUCCUGGAUGAAUUCAAAUCAACUGCCUACUUACUUUUCAAGACUCUCUAUUUCCCAUUGAUCUGUUUUACAGCAAAACUACAGAACAGCAUCUUUCAUAAUUUUAUCUGGUUUUGUUCCCACCAUGCAUACACUGGGAAUCUUCUUUUCCAGAACAAAUGGCUAAAGAUGCUGCUUAAGUAUGACCUCUGAAGUUUAAAAUUGGCCUUCUCAUCCAAGAGUUAUUAUCAUAUCAGUGGUUAUUAAAUUUCUCCACAAAUCCUUGUAGAUAUAUUUGCAACAAAAUUUAUAUGUCACUUCUCCUGUGUGACUAUUUUAUGAAUUUUCCACUUUGAUUGUACAUGCUCAUAAAGAGCUGACUACAUAGAUUUUAGGUUAUUUAAUAGACGUAAGGUUUCUGAGGAACAGGAGAAGAUCUGUUCUAUAAUAUAUUCUCCCUCUACCUCAGACAAUCUAAUUUUGGUUUUGCUUUUUAAACCUUGUUCGUCUCUCAGCUGAUUAUUCUGCACAUUUAUUAAGUUACAUGGGAAAAAACCCAACCAACCAACCAACCAAACAUAAAAAACUUGCUUCACUGACUUUUGAGUUAUUUAGAUUUUGCUUUUAAUAGAUACAAUUUAAGAACUUAGGUGAAUGUCCUGUUUUGCUUGUUUCAGUUCCUUUGGGGCCAUAAUUAUGUUGUGAAAUAUUUCUCAUCUAGCUUGUAUGCCAGCUCUCAGCCUGACAAAAUUUAGAACAGUAGAGAUACUGCUUAAAUAAACUUCAUUUUCCAAAAUAUGGUUCAUAAUGAAAAUACUGACAGGCACUUAAACGUAGCUACAUUAUAGCCAAUAAAAUGCUAAAAUAUAUUAAUUUUAAAACAUUCAGUGAAACAUGACCUACUGUCAGCUAAUUCAUGGUUACUGGAAAAUCUAAUUAUGUCAAAUGAUGAUUGUGUUUAAUUCCAAGUUUAAUUGCAUACAGCAUAUAACACACCCUCCACAUACCCUACCCCCUUCCCCCAAACUGGGUAGACUAUUACGAAGCACUGGAUGACUCAGUUACUUGGAAUCAAAAUUUUGUGGACGUUAAGACUGAACAGAAUACAUAAACAUUAGGCACUGAAUCCCAUGAGAUGGGUACAAAUCAAGCACUGAACACUCUCCCCGCCACAUUCCCUCCCACUCACCCUAGCAUUUUUAGAUGCCUUAAUACCUUGGAAAAUCGGGGAACAAAAGGAAUUUAAGAACAGCUGUACACUACUUUCUAACACAUAUUAGAUUUAGAUUCCAAAAUCUCAUUUUUUCAAAUAUGAUUUAAGAGGCCAAAUUACUAUAGUUUCUAUGCAGAUCUUUUCUAUUUACUGUCACAAAGCUGCCUUAAAGGAAGAAAGGUAACAGAAAAAUAAUUUAAAAAUACACAAUUCUUCCACUUGCAAGAAACUCCUCACAAAUCUGUCCCCUUCAUACAUAAAGCAAUCUAUUCAGGCGCCCCAUGCACAUUCAGAGACAGAAGUGUGUGCUUAGAGCCACUACCACCUUGCUAAUUAGGCCUGUGGUAUUCUACAACUUGUAAUGCAUUCCGUUUCCAUUAUUUGGCCAUUUAAAACUUGAUCAUUCAGGUUAAAACCCAUUUAAUUCCUUCACUGCAAAGGGCAAGGGGUGAACAGAAGGAGGGUUAAAAGCACCCUUUUUCACAACUUCAAAUGUAAAGCUAUCUUUUAAUACAAAACCUUAGUUCUUGUAAUAAAUGUAGUCACCUAUAGUAGUAUUUGUGGGCAACAUAAGACAUUCUUCCCUCCUCACUGUCUGUCACUGAGAUCCCCCUAAGCUAGGGACUGAAAUGACAAAUGGCCCAAAAGCUACUCCUGAUAAGCCUUAUUUUAUUAAUAUUUUCUGGCAUGAAUCCCUUCUCAGAAAGAUGAUGAAAUUGGAGCAAAGUUAGCUAAUACCUGCACUACUGAAAGGUAUCUUUCAUCAGGUGAAACCACUUGAUCAAACAUUAUUUUAUGACCUAGUCAGAAUAAAAAGGAAACUUCUGCUUUUUAAUUGUCUUCAAAAUUCCAGAAGCUUUCCUCCCCAUGGUGAACAGGUGCUGAGAAAUACCUAAACAAGACUAAUAGAUGUUAGUAUUUACAUAUAAAUGUCUCUAGUAUUUCUUAUUAGCUUAUCCACCAAAUCCAUUUUGAAUUACUCUUUAUCCAGUGCAAUUGCCUAAUUAUAAUAUUAAUAAAAAAUAUUUGAGAAUGCAACAAAAUUAUUUUUAAAACUUUGGUUUUACAUUUAACCUAAAAUUAGGUUUUCAUCAUAAAAGUACACCAUUCACACAAUACCAUGUUGGGCAUUACAGAAAUUUUAGUGGUUAGGAGGACAUAAGGAGGACAAGGAUUAGAUGGUCUUGCCUAAUGAAUAAGGUCAGGAACUAGGAGGGGAAAGAAACUCCAGUGUCAGAAGUUAACACCCAGGUUCAGCGUGGAAAGCUAGAGUCAGAAGAAGAGAUUCCAAGUCUGAAACAUUUAUCAGACAGAAAAUGACUGUUCUAAAGAAGAUUUUUUGUUCAAAUACAAUUAUGGUCACACCUGCAAACUCUGUGGUGGAGAUUUCCUGUAUGAGGCUGAGGAUAUAAUGCUGCUGAAAACACCUCUAUAACAACACGGCUGCAUGAAGAAGAACAAGAACAAGAACAGCAGCUCUGCCAACUUUGAGUCACAGUUUAAAUUUCUGUCACAUUGUUUAAAUGAUGUUUUUGUUAUUAAAAGUUCUACACUGUAUCUAAGAUGCAAGAAUUCACAAAGAAGUGACACCUGUGUUCUCGUAAGUUUUCCUAUUCUGCCCAGUGUAUAGCUGUACUAGUUACAGGCUUCAAGUAAAUAGGCUUUCUCCUUCUGCCAAAUGAUGACAGUCUUAGAAGACUUAAAAUGAUGUAUUAUGCGACAUAAAGUUUUCCCUGUUAAGUUGUAUUUGAUUUUUGACACAGACCAGUGCCAUGUUAAAUUUAAAAAUAUUAUUAUUUUUGAUGAAACCUGGUGACA